UCCUACGGGAGGCAGCAGUGGGGAAUUUUGGACAAUGGGCGCAAGCCUGAUCCAGCAAUGCCGCGUGCAGGAAGAAGGCCUUCGGGUUGUAAACUGCUUUUGUACGGAACGAAACGGCUCUGGUUAAUACCCGGGCUAAUGACGGUACCGUAAGAAUAAGCACCGGCUAACUACGUGCCAGCAGCCGCGGUA
rnacentral:rRNA from 1 species